rnacentral:rRNA from 1 species
GAUUAACGCUAGCGGCAGGCCUAAUACAUGCAAGUCGAGGGGCAGCAGGGUGUAGCAAUACAUCGCUGGCGACCGGCGCACGGGUGCGUAACACGUAUGCAACCUACCUUUAACUGGGGAAUAGCCCUCCGAAAGGAGGAUUAACACCGCAUAACAUCACGAGACGGCAUCGCCUUGUGAUCAAACCUCCGGGGGUUAAAGAUGGGCAUGCGUCCGAUUAGCUAGUUGGCGGGGUAACGGCCCACCAAGGCGACGAUCGGUAGGGGGUCUGAGAGGAUGAUCCCCCACACUGGUACUGAGACACGGACCAGACUCCUACGGGAGCAGCAGUAAGGAAUAUUGGACAAUGGUCGCAAGACUGAUCCAGCCAUGCCGCGUGCAGGAUGAACGAUCUAUGAUCUGUAAACUGCUUUUGUUCGGGAAUAAACCCCUUCACGUGUGGAGGGCUGAAUGUACCGAAAGAAUAAGGGUCGGCUAACUUCGUGCCAGCAGCC